CUCACACAAUCCAUCUCACCCUUUGUGCAUCACCGCGUGGGUCCUCCUUUGCGGGAGGGCUCGCGUUUUCACAUAAAACUUGAUACAGUGUAGAAUGUUUAUUUUUGCGGUCACACGCAAUCAAUACAACUUUCAACAACGGAUCUCUUGGCUCUCGCAUCGAUGAAGAACGCAGCGAAAUGCGAUACGUAAUGUGAAUUGCAGAAUUCAGUGAAUCAUCGAAUCUUUGAACGCACCUUGCGCCCCUUGGCAUUCCGAGGGGCACACCCGUUUGAGUGUCGUGAAAUUCUCAAAACCCCUUUUCUUUGAUCCUUUUUGGUCGGAAAAAAGGAGUUUUGGACUUGGAGGUUCAAUGCUUGCUUUUGCCUUUGAAAGUGAGCUCCUCUCAAAUGGAUUAGUGGGGUCCGCUUUGCCGAUCCUUGACGUGAUAAGAUGUUUCUACGUUUUGGAUUUGGCACUGUCUCUUGGACGUCCGCUCCUAACUGUCUCAUGGACAAUGAUGGUGCUCCGGUCACUGCCAUCUACAUUGGCGGAAGGCUGGACCCACAAGAAAAAAA
rnacentral:rRNA from 1 species